UGGGGAAUAUUGCACAAUGGGCGCAAGCCUGAUGCAGCCAUGCCGCGUGUAUGAAGAAGGCCUUCGGGUUGUAAAGUACUUUCAGCGGGGAGGAAGGGAGUAAAGUUAAUACCUUUGCUCAUUGACGUUACCCGCAGAAGAAGCACCGGCUAACUCCGUGCCAGCAGCCGCGGUAAUACGGAGGGUGCAAGCGUUAAUCGGAAUUACUGGGCGUAAAGCGCACGCAGGCGGUUUGUUAAGUCAGAGGUGAAAUCCUCGGGCUCAACCUGGGAGCUGCAUCUAAUACUGGCAAGCUUGAGUCUCGUAGAGGGGGGUAGAAUUCCAGGUGUAGCGGUGAAAUGCGUAGAGAUCUGGAGGAAUACCGGUGGCGAAGGCGGCCCCCUGGACGAAGACUGACGCUCAGGUGCGAAAGCGUGGGGAGCAAACAGG
rnacentral:rRNA from 1 species